GUGGUCACUUCAAUAGCACAUAUACUAACAUUGGAUGGUGCAGAGAUUAGCAUGGCGCUUGUCCAAGGAUUCCACACAGGUCCAUGAAGCGUUCUGUGUUUAA
rnacentral:snRNA from 1 species